rnacentral:tRNA from 2 species
GGAAAGGUGCCGGAGUGGUUGAACGGGGCGGUCUCGAAAACCGUUAUACCGGGUAACUGGUAUCGAGGGUUCGAAUCCCUCCCUUUCCGC